CUAAAGUGGAGUGAGAUAGCAGAUGACAUGUUGACCACAGUGUGUGUGCAACAGAAAAUAAAGUGUAUGUUAAAAGCACUAACACAGGAAUGGAAAUAGCUGUGCAUUCGAGUGGCAGGGUUAUGGGUGAUUUACUAGUAUCAUGUUCUUAAUAUUUUUAAAAUGUUUUCUAUAUAGUUUUUAUAAUAUAAUAUUAGCAACCUACAAAAUGUCUCAAUAUCUAAUCCAUGCCACCCCUCUCCUCCGAUGAGGAAACCCAGCCCAGGAGUGAGAAGCAUGUUUACAGUGUGUUUUUAAUCCAAGUGACCCCGGAGACCUGAGGCAUACCUGUAAGGAUUUUUGAAAACGGCUUUAUUGAGAUAUGAGUCACUUACAUACAGCUCCCCCAUCUAAAGUGUGUAAUUCAAUGUUUUUUGUGUAUUCACAGAGUUGUGCAACCAUCAUACGAUCAAUUUUACAACAUUUUCUUUGCCCCGAAAAGAAACCCCACAUCCCUUAGCAUCACUCCCUAAUCUCCCUCUGCCCCUGGACCCAUGCAGCCACUCACCUGCCUUCCAUCCCUGUGGAUGGGCCUGUUCCGGACAUUUCAGAGAAGUGGGCUCACACAGCCUGCUGUCUUUUGUGUUUGGCUUCUUUCAGCGAGCAUGUUUUCAAGGUUUGCCCACAUUGGAGCAUCUAACAGAAUGUCCCUCCUUUCUAUUGCUGAAUAAAUCCCAUUGUAUGGACAGACCACACACAGGCCAGAGCAGGUAUUUCAGAGGGAGAACAUGGUUUACGGACCCCCAGCCAGUGCUGAUCCUGCAUGAUAGCCAAAGAGGGAAGGAGGGUCUGCAGAGUUAGGGGCAGCCGCCUGCUAGCCAGCGUGAGAAGGAAGGGGUGAGGGCUCUUCUUGCGAAGUCAAACUGUUGAGGGAAGGAAGUUUCUCUUAGGUUUUGUUUUAGGAUGCCUAUAGGGAGACCUAUGAACCGUGAGGGUCCAAAUGCAAAGAACCAGCUGAGGCAAAGAGGUUUGGCGAGCAGGGCGAGCAGGGUCUGAAGGAGGAGAAAGGACCCCGAGGGGAGGGGAUGUACCGAGCGGACCGGAUGCAGACACUUCAUUUUCCAAAUCAGGAUGGAAUAUGUCCGCUCUCUGUAUCCAGACAGUGAAGAGUGAUAAGAGUUAUGAGGAUGUCCACCCUUGAUGGAUUAAAUGUGAAACAGAGAAAACUUGCACAACUGAAUCGUGGAGAGAUAACUUCAGUUAAUCAGAAAUCUGCCGUCGUAUGGAGAACUCAUUCACCCAUGACGCUAGGUCCACGGCAAUGUGGGGGGUUCUUUGCCUUGCCAAACCCCGCUGGUCCAGAGGAGGCCAGGCUUCGGCGUCCGGUCGUCUGAGACGGAGCCCGUUGGUGUGUCACGUCCCUGCAGCCCCCACUCCUGUCCCGCUGCGUGGACAGUGACCGCAGGGCUUUGGGUGGCCUGAGUUGUCUGAAAGGCCAGCUGUGGGACGGAGGGCCGGCUUCUCUGCGCCUUUUCGCCUGGGUGGAGGUCGCGGGGAAGACAGGAGCGCCAGCAGCUACCAGGUGCGCCAGGUGCCGUGUGGGGCCGGCUCUGGAUCCACCUUGACUGGCCUCCCAGCUCCGUGCUCCAUGGCUGUGUGGGUGGCCCCGC